rnacentral:rRNA from 1 species
ACAGCAGUAGCCACGGGAAUACGUAGGGUGCAAGCGUUGUCCGGAAUCAUUGGGCGUAAAGCGCGCGUAGGUGGCCAUUUAAGUCCGCUGUGAAAGUCAAAGGCUCAACCUUUGAAAGCCGGUGGAUACUGGAUGGCUAGAGUACGGAAGAGGCGAGUGGAAUUCCUGGUGUAGCGGUGGAAUGCGCAGAUAUCAGGAGGAACACCAAUAGCGAAGGCAGCUCGCUGGGACGUUACUGACACUAAGGCGCGAAAGCGUGGGGAGCGAACAGGAUUAGAUACCCCUGUAGUCCCUGUCUCUUAUAC